rnacentral:lncRNA from 1 species
AUUACCAGUAUGUUUGACACCCAAGCUGUCAAGUGAAGCUAUAUAAUAUAACAUCUUUUUUAAUUUACAGGUAAAAUUUAACACAGGUGUCAAUUACACCCGUACGGUAGUAAGAAAUUAUUAAAAAUGGCGGUUGAACAUUUCCAUUCAAGAAAUAUUUCAUACACAGGAUUUUUUUACCUUAACGGGAGGACGGGAGGAGACCCCUGAAAACGGGAUUAUUGUACUCCUGUCUGGAGGUUCACAUACAUGUAUGAAUAAGCGACAAGAUGCUAAUAGAAGUAUAAUUUAGCAACAAGAAGACUAUUUAGCGACAAGAAAGUUAAUAUAAAUUUAUAGAAAGAGUUAAUAUUUUAAAUUAUAAAUUAAAGCAUCAC